GACGAACGCUGGCGGCGUGCUUAACACAUGCAAGUCGAACGAUGAACCAGAGCUUGCUCUGGGGAAUAGUGGCGAACGGGUGAGUAACACGUGGGCAACCUGCCCCAGACACCGGGAUAACCAUUCGAAAGGAUGGCUAAUACCGGAUAUGACCACUUCAGGCAUCUGAUGGUGGUGGAAAGGAUUCUGGUCUGGGAUGGGCCCGCGGCCUAUCAGCUUGUUGGUGGGGUAAUGGCCUACCAAGGCGACGACGGGUAGCCGGCCUGAGAGGGCGACCGGCCAAACUGGGACUGAGACACGGCCCAGACUCCUACGGGAGGCAGCAGUGGGGAAUUUUGGACAAUGGGCGCAAGCCUGAUCCAGCCAUUCCGCGUGCAGGAUGAAGGCCUACGGGUUGUAAACUGCUUUUGUACGGAACGAAACGGUUCUCUCUAAUACAGGGGGCUAAUGACGGUACCGUAAGAAUAAGCACCGGCUAACUAC
rnacentral:rRNA from 1 species